CUACAGUCUCUUAAGGUGCUGUUAGAGAUGUGGAUGUUUUCCAAGUUAACCACAAUGCUGGACAAUACAUACCACCUGCAUCCUGAUGUGCUAGCCAUUCACCAGAGCGUGCUCAGUGAGAGAAUGAGAUUACUGAUAAUGCACUAUUAUGACACAGGAAAUAAUUCCCGACUGUGACUUGCUCUCUUUAAAGUAUACUGUAUCUGCAAUCACUGUGCAGCCUCAAUAUUUGCACAUCCUAUAAAGAGUAUGUCACAAAAUCUGCAUGACUUAGGGCACCAAAGUAUUAACCAUAUACUUAAUUUGUGCAGUGUACUGUGAAAUUUAGAAUUAGAUGUAUUCAUAUCUAUUACAGCUACUGUUAUGGAUGUGGAUAUUCUUCUGACAUGAUGGCAUGGCAAACAAGUAAGAAAUUAUAUACAAAUGUAUAUUAUCAUCACUUACCAUCACCACUAAUACUCCACAGCUGAAGCCAUCCUUCUGCACUGGAUGGGUCAAGACACCUCCCUUCCAUUUAAUGUCCACCCAUUCUGUUUUUGCGUGGCGGGUUCUCCUCAUUUUUAAGUAAUCACUGCACAUUAUUACAAAGCAGAAUGUUUAGAAAACAGAAUACAACUUGGCAUAUGUCAUAUUUCGUAAUCUAAAAAAAAAGAUAUUUUACAGAAUUAUACAGAAUUUAUUUAUUUUUUAUUUAUUUAUUUAUUUUUUGGCCUGUCCCGUGUGGCUCUUUUGCCAUCAGAAUUAUUGUCUAAAUAAUUUGUUCACCUGAUAAUUUUUAUUUAACUGUACUGAAUGAUUUUGCAAAUGAGACCUGGCCAAGAGGACGCCAACAGAGAAACACGCAUUGUGGGGCCAGGUACAAAAAGCUUCUACAAAAAUGCAGUUGUAGUAAACUAACUUGUACAGCCUAUUUGCAUAGAACAAAAUGUGUUAAAGCCUAAAUACCUGAAUUUACGUGCAGCGAGUUUAGAGUCUUCCUCCUCUGAUGAACUUGGGGCAGGAUCAAGGAGAUAAACAGUGUGAUUCACUGCAUUGAUGAACUGUAGCAAAGAUAAAUCAUUAAAACAAUAUUAAUAUAUCAUCAUUAAAAAAAAUACACAGACUUUAAAGUUAUAAUCUUGUUGCUUACCAGAAACUUCCAGUGUACAUUUUUAAUGUUAACAAACAUGACAAUGGCCUGGUACCGAUCGAAGUUUACCUGUCAGAAAACAUGUAUGUAUUUCUUACAGUUUGUGGAAUUCUGUUAGCAUUCAAUCAGUAAUUCUUUCUAA
rnacentral:lncRNA from 1 species